rnacentral:rRNA from 1 species
UACGUAGGGUGCAAGCGUUAAUCGGAAUGACUGGGCGUAAAGGGCGCGUAGGCGGUUUGUACAGUCAGGUGUGAAAUUCCCGGGCUCAACCUGGGGGCUGCACUUGAUACGUAUGGACUGGAGUGGGGAAGAGGGUCGUGGAAUUCCCAGUGUAGAGGUGAAAUUCGUAGAUAUUGGGAAGAACACCGGUGGCGAAGGCGGCGACCUGGUCCUUGACUGACGCUGAGGCGCGAAAGCGUGGGGAGCAAACAGG